rnacentral:tRNA from 1 species
GGAGGGAUGCCGGAGCGGCCGAACGGGAUGGUCUUGAAAACCAUUGAGGCGCGAGCCUCCGUGGGUUCGAAUCCCACUCCCUCCG